CUGUGUUGCUUUGGCAAAUAGGUUUGUAAAAAUGAACUUGUUCAUAAGUCAUGAUGUUUCAAGUGUACUGUCCUAUGGUAUGCUACUUACCAGGUCUGCUCGGUAAAUUGGGGUCAGUGAGUGAUUCGUUCACUGAACGUUGAGAAGAAUUCACACUGAACAUGCACCGAUCCCUCGCAAACGCUGCAAUAAUAGGAUGCUGCGGGUUUAAUGCACUACUUGUUACAUGCUGUGUCCUAAUGUAUGAAAGUUUUUGUGUUGGCAAUUUAGCAGUGGAAGAAAGGUAGUUUUGUCAGACAAAAAUGAUUCCAAAGAGUGUAGUUCAAUGCCUGAUUCAUUCAUCAUGUGAUCCAGGUGUCGGUGCAUGUGGUCCCUCUUUUGCCAGCUGCUCAACCGGCAAUGCUAUUUCUCACUUCUGCUCAACUGAAGUGAGAAACGAAAGAAUCACUCAAAGAAGUGAUUCAGAUCAGUAAUUUACUUAACCCUCACGCACUGUUCAAAUCCUGUACCCUCACAGUAUGUUACGGGUCAAAAUUGCCCCUUCAAAGAGUUCAAAGAGCAGCUUUCUGUCACAGAAAGUUCUCUUGACUAGUUAGGUCAUUUUGACCUCUGUCUAGGUGUGUCUGUGUGACUGUAUGUCUGUGUGUGUGUGUGUGAGUGUGUGUGUGUGUGUGUUUCUGUCAAGGUAAUGAUAGUUUCAUAAUGAUUUGAAUAUUUCUUUUUGAACAACAAACCUUAUAUUGAACACGGUUGUUACUGUUUGUCACUUGUCCCGCACUGCUAGAUCUAAAAUCCAUCUAAAUAUAGAUACGGGUCAAAUUUGACCCAUAACGCCAUAAACAAAAAUACACAUGAAUAUUUUUUAAUUAAUUUCAUGUAUUUUGGGUUAUUUCAGGAAAAGUCAUCGUUUCAGGCUAAAAAAAUGAUGUUUAGGGUAUUUUUACUGCUGUUAAAAGUCAAAACGGGUCAAAUUUGACCCCGAAUGAUAUGUGAGGGUUAAAAGAUUCGUUUUUUUUAACGAAUUGUUCGCGAACGACACAACACUAUUUGGCUGUCACUGUGGCUGACCAAGAGGAGGAGAGCUUGGUGUUUUGUGGUGAGUGUCUGUGUGUUAUGUAUGAACGUGUGUGUAGAACGACGAGUGUGCACCCUCAUUCAAACUACGGGACUUGUGGGGAUGUGAAUAAGUUUGAUACCUGUGACCGCUGUGGGGGACCAGAAGGGAAAGUUUGGCGUAUAGUGUGUAGCGUGUGGCGUGUAGCAUGUAGCGUGUGUGUGUGUGUGACCACCUAGCGUGUGUGCGCUUUCUGCACUCAGUGACGGGGCCGCACCGUCACAUCCCAACAGUUUAACAAUUUUACAAGGUGUUUCACAGUUUAAAAAGAAGGUCUUAGACAGAACUGGUGACUGUCAUUUAUUCAAAUGUGACAGUGCUUAGUACAUCAAGAUGCAAUUGUAAAUAAAUAGUGCAGUUAUUUGCUGACACCCCAGAAUAAGCAUUGUCAUAUAGCGAUGUCAGGAAUUCUUAAAUGCAGUAGAUGGAAAAUUUGGAUACAGCAGUACCAGAGAUAAGUUUUCAAACAAGAAUUGAAGAUGUCUUGUCAAAAUUUACAAAGUGAUCGGCAUUGUUGCUACUGCUGGUUGUACAGAAUCCAUGACAACAGUACCAUGAAGAAUGCAGUGAUGAGGCUGAUCUUGUGACUUACUACGCUUUUAGGUGCAUUUGGUGCAGAUGCUUCAGUUGUAUAGGCUACUGUGAUAGGUCUUACUAAAUUGCUUUUAUUGUAAUUUUUGUUCUGUUUGUCCUUAAUGUUAAAAGUAUCUCUAGAUUAUUUUUUGGUGUUGUUUCACCAAUGUAGAGUUAAAACACCGUAGCAACUGUUUCACCAAAGCUUUAAUAAUGUCUUGAUAAUGAUUGUGUAGAUUUUCAACAUUUAUAUAACUUACAACUCAGAGCAAAGAUGAAAACAACACCUGAGCCCACUGUUACCCAUCUAUAUGAAUUAUCUUUCAAUUUAUUUUUUCUUUUUAAGAGUAAUUACUGAACACUCUGUACAUGCUUAUGCACACAAGCUAGAUGUUGGCUUUUCAGACAUUUAUCUCUUAGACUGUACUGGUAUUGAAUAGACAAAAUCUCAGAGGAAAGAGAGUGACAGAAUAAACUAUGCGCCUCUCCCAGCUCUUCAACCAAUUUCACUGACGUAACACCUGUGCCAGACUGACUGCAAGAUGCCCUUUAAAAAUUAAGUAUGUAAAA